rnacentral:rRNA from 1 species
CCUACGGGUGGCAGCAGUGAGGAAUAUUGGUCAAUGGCCGGAAGGCUGAACCAGCCAUGCCGCGUGAAGGUCAGCGCCCUACGGGCGUUAAACUUCUUUUGUGCGGGAGCAAUAAUGGUCACGUGUGGCCAGACGAGAGUACCGUACGAAUAAGCAUCGGCUAACUCCGUGCCAGCAGCCGCGGGAAUACGGGGGAUGCAAGCGUUAUCCGGAUUUAUUGGGUUUAAAGGGUGCGUAGGCUGGGAGGUAAGUCAGCGGUGAAAUGCCCCCGCUCAACGGGGUGAAGUGCCAUUGAUACUGGCUGGCUAGAGUGCGGAUGCCGUGGGUGGAAUGUGUGGUGUAGCGGUGAAAUGCAUAGAUAUCACACAGAACACCGAUUGCGAAGGCAGCUCACGAAUCCGCGAUUGACGCUGAUGCACGAAAGCGUGGGGAUCAAACAGGAUUAGAUACCCCGGUAGUC